rnacentral:misc_RNA from 1 species
CGGCACACGAUUCAAUAAUUCACCCACAGUUUGGAUGUGCUACAAUAUGAGCAGCUGCUGGUAAGGAGGUGCCACCACCAACGCUAGUGAGCAGUCACCAGGGAUCUAAAAGCACUGAGGAGAAUUGGAGAUCCAUCCAAGGCAGUAGCCGGAACAAAGGGACCUUAAAAUAACCAUCCCUAGUAUCUUCAGUGAGCCAAGACUUAAGCACCAUCAAACCAAAAGGAGCACACCAAGCUAUGGAGGUGCCGAGGAACCAGAAAAGGAAAGGUGACGCAGAGCUCUUAGGUAUUCACCUAGUUUUAUUCACCUUGAAAGGAAAGUUGUCGAUGAAUUUAAAUUCGUUUGAAGCUAUUAGAUUAUUUUGUUCAAGAGAUAUGCCUUAUCACCAGUUAGCAGCUGUUAUUUUGGAUUGUCGUGUUAUUGUAAUUAGGAGCCAGCAAUGUACUGUUCAUCAUAAAGUGUGAGAUAAAUUUUGUUAUUGAUGCUUUGGCUUGUAAUAAAUAUUUUAUAGAUUGUAAUAUAUGUUUG